GUAGAAUCAAUAUUUUCAGGGGAACACAAGUACAGAAAAAAUAUGUUGCAUUGCCAAGUUCUCCCCCUCCCAGGUUAUGACACCUUCUGUUACUUUUGACUGGGCUCUACCCUCCUUCUUCGGUCCAGUAACAGGGCUGCCGUCUGGGAACUGACACUCGGGCUCCAGGUCCUCCCCGGGAACAGCCCCAGCAAGGCACUUUACCCUCGGCUUCUCACUCUACAUGGUGUUGCGGGAUAGGUCAGCAGCUGCAGGAGAACUUGAUUAGUGCCUCGCCUCUGAGCAGAUGCAUUUCCCUGACAGCAUCGAUCCUGGGUGCUUUGGCUUUGCAGGCAGCUCCACAGAGGAGGAGCUUGGACUGCAAAGGAGGUGGACUAUUGUCUGUUCAAGGUAUGAAGAUAACCUAGCCUCAUAUGCAUAUGUAGCUGAAAAAGGGAAGACAUGCCCAGGACUCCUUGGACCACACUUUGAGAAUCACUUGCUUCAGAGAAGCACCCUUGCUGUGAGUCAGAGGUCCCAGGUCCUGCUCUGCCAGUAACCAGCUGUGCAACCAGAAGCAAGUCACUAAACCAUUCUGAACUGAAGCUUCUUUAUGUAAACAAGGAAAAGAAUAAACGUAUUGUCGAACAUC